AUCAGCUGAGGAAAGUGGAUAGUUCAAGGAUUUGAAACAUUUAAACAAACCUAAUGGGGAAAAGUAGGCACGUAUACUUUCUACCUGAUGCCCCUGUGGUCUGGCCUCACCGCCUAAGAAUUGAGGACGCAGUGAGAAUUGCUCUGUUGUUUAUCUCACAUCUUCAGGUUUCCUUUCUCCUCCUUAACUGCGUCCACAGACUGGAAGGGACCUUCAGAUUGAUGUAGGCCACUCCCUGCAUUGUACAUUUGAGCACCCAGGCCCAGCGACAUUGACUGUCACGCCUGAGAUCACACAGCUACCAAGGGAGGGGAUGGGCCCAGGUCCAAGGCUCUUCUGAGUCCAGCUCAGUGCUCAGUCCACCACCCCACACUGCCUCCGUCGUUCCGUCUAGCCAUGGGUAUUUUAUUGCAUUCUUUUCCCCAACCCUUCAUGGCUCUGUACCCAGAGCAUAAUGUUCUUUACGUAGAUGGUACUUAAGAAAAGUGUUGCCUAACUUUUUAUUUACUUGGGGUUGCAAUGUCAGCUCACAGGAAAUGCACCAGAAACGUGUGGGGAAACUUCGCAAGAAACCCUCCAUGACUCUCUCAUUUGGUGUUCAAGGACUGAGGCAGUGAUGUCAUUCACUCUGGAACAGAAAGAACAAGCCACGCUUGUUUCAGGGUCUAGCACAGCACUUUUCAUAGAGGAAAAACAGGAUCCUCGUCUUCAUCUUGGCCGGCUCCAAGAGACCAAAUCCUGUCUUCAACCACACAAAGAUUAGUGAUUCUAAUUGCAAGUUAUGAGGCAGUUAAAGAAACCCAGCAUACGUCCUUCUGGAAUAUGGAUUUGAACUGAGCCGUCUGCCAGGAUUACUGCCUUCCUUGGGAAACAUGCGUGCACUGAGCCGAUCUAAGAGCCAAAACAGGGCAUCUGCAGCACAUACUGGAGAGAGCAUCGGACAGGAGACCCCUUCCUGGGUUUGAGUGGGUGGGGCUCCUCAGCAGUGAGCCAAGUUAACAGUGAGACUUGACUUGCGGGCUUGGAAGGGGAGAUGGGAAUGAACUUACAAUAAGAAAGCCACGUUGGGUGUUAUAAUGUCUGUAAUUUACUUUAAAAUACUUCAUCAUAGGCAGUGCGA